rnacentral:rRNA from 1 species
UACGUAGGGGGCUAGCGUUGUCCGGAAUCAUUGGGCGUAAAGCGCAUGUAGGCGGUCCGGUAAGUCCGCUGUGAAAGUCGAGGGCUCAACCCUCGAAUGCCGGUGGAUACUGUCGGGCUAGAGUACGGAAGAGGCGAGUGGAAUUCCUGGUGUAGCGGUGAAAUGCGCAGAUAUCAGGAGGAACACCAAUUGCGAAGGCAGCUCGCUGGGACGUUACUGACGCUGAGGAGCGAAAGCGUGGGGAGCGAACAGG